UGCGAACGGGCAUCGUUUGGCCUCGCGAUUCGUGAUUAUUCUUUGCCAUUUUCACAUUUUGGCUUCGAAAACAUCUUGAUUUGGCUGUCUUGUAUUCGCCAUUCUACUUGCGAUAUUAUUCUGGAGUUAUCUAUCAACAUGGGAACUUAAUAUCCUCAUCUGGUAAGUAGUCAAAUACCACAUAUUUUAUUAUCUACCGCUAUA